GCCUCUGAUGAUUUAUUGCCGAACAAGCUGACAGAGCACAGGAGCAUGUUAUCUGGGCCCCCGUAGUGCAGGGGCUAAUUCCGAAAAUGAGGGAAGACCGAAAGUGCAGCAGUCGGAGCAAAUGCUCUCUAGCAUUCAGCAAGGAAACAGAUGGAAGCUGGAACACAGCUUACUCAUAGCUUUUAAAUGUGAUGGGUCAGCACUAAACAAAGCUCUUACUGUGCACAAGAGAAUGUAUACGACCACUGCAGCAACAAGACAACGCAUGCAUAAGGUAAUUAAUUGCUCUCAAGAUGUGGUGGCCCUAUAUUUUCGAUGUUUGGGUUACAGGACAGCUGUUAAUUGGUGUGUGAAUAUUCUGAGUAAAGCGGAUCUAAAUAGAUUAUCAG
rnacentral:lncRNA from 1 species